AAGCCCAGCUUCAGAUGCAAUCGUUAGGCAAGGGUAAUUUCAGUGUAGGAAAGGAUGAAACAGUGUCUCUGCCACCAGUAAGUACAGAUAGUAGUAAAAAUCCCCUUGCACAGUCCCCGCAGCCAGACAACUUUCUCAUGGCUUCUGGAGUGAAAUGCUGUAGGAAUGCUCAACCGGUGUCGCUCAUUCAGCCAACAGAAACUUUCAACCGGUUCUCCCCAUUAAGCAUUAAGUAGCGAGUCGGAGUCAGAGGCUGAGCCUUCUCUGGUCUCUACUCCUACCGUUACGGGGUCUGAGACGCCGAAACCUCCCACUAUUAGCUCUGACAAAUUGAAAACCCUAGUCAUUGAAGACUCCAUUACCCGCAGUAUUAGACUUAAAACGAAUCAUCCAGCGAUCAUACACUGUUUACCAGGGGGCAGGGCUACUGACGUUAAGGCUAAUCUGAAGAUGGUGCUGGCUAAAGCUAAAACUGGCGAGUGUAGAGAGUAUAGGGAUAUUGUUAUCCACGUCGGCACCAACGAUGUUAGGAUGAAACAGUCAGAGGUCACCAAGCGCAACAUAGCUUCAGCGUGUAAAUCAGUUGGAAAGAUGUGUGGGCAUUGAGUAAUUGUCUCUGGCUCCCUCCCAGUUAGGGGGAGUGAUGAGCUCUACAGCAGAGUCUCACAACUCAAUCGCUGGUUGAAAACUUUUUUCUGGCCCUCCCAAAAGAUAGAAUUUGUAGAUAAUUGUCCCUCUUUCUAGGACUCACCCACAAACAGGACCAAGCCUGGUAGAUGCAGCACUUCCCAGGAGUCACGUGUAUCCUCUGUCACAGGAGGAGACGGCGGCUAUGGAAACAUAUGUCUCCGAAUCUCUGGGGCAGGGAUACAUUCGGCCUUCCACUUCACCUUCCUCCUCAAGUUUAUUUUUUGUGAAGAAGAAGGAUGGAGGUUUACGCCCGUGUAUUGACUAUCGAGGUAUAAAUCAGAUCACAGUGAAGUACAGUUACCCGCUGCCUCUUAUAGCCAGUGCAAUCGAGUCAAUGCACGGGGCGCGCUUCUUCACAAAAUUGGAUCUCAGAAGCGCUUACAAUCUGGUGGGUAUCCGGGAGGGGGAUGAGUGGAAGAUGGCAUUUAGUACCACCUCUGGGCACUAUAACUACCUUGUCAUGUCGUACAGGUUGAUGAAUGCUCCAUCAGUCUUCCAAUCCUUUGUAGACGUGAUUUUCCGGGACCUACAAGGGCAGGGUGUAGUGGUGUAUAUCGACGACAUUCUGAUAUACUCCGCCACACGCGCCGAGCAUGUGUCCCUGGUGCGCAAGGUGCUUGGUUGGCUGUUAGAGCAUGACCUGUAAGUGAAGGCUGAUAAAUGUCUGUUCUUUCAACAGUCUGUCUCCUUCCUAGGGUACCGCCUUUCCACGUCAGGGGUGGAAAUGGAAAGUGACCGCAUUUCAGCCGUGGGUAAUUGGCCGACUCCAACCACGGUAAAGGAGGUGCAGUUCUUAGGGUUUGCCAACUACUACCAGAGUUUUAUCCAGGGCUUUGGUCAGGUAGCAGCUCCCAUUACCUCGCUGCUUAAGGGGGGACCGGUGCGACUGCAGUGGUCGGCUGGGGCGGACAGGGCUUUUGGUCACCUGAAGGCUCUGUUUACCCAGGCUCCCGUGCUGGCUCAUCCCGAUCCCUCCUUGGCAUUUAUAGUGUCAAGGAGGGUAGUAAGUUUUAAGUUCCUCGGCGUACACAUCACGGACAAACUGAAUUGGUCCACCCACACAGACAGCGUCGUGAAGAAGGCGCAGCAGCGCCUCUUCAACCUCAGGAGGCUGAAGAAAUCCAUCUUGUUACCAAAAGCACUCACAAACUUCUACAGAUGCAAAAUCGAGGGCAUCCUGUCAGGCUAUAUCACCGCCUGGUACGGUAACUGCUCUGCCCACAACCGUAAGGCUCUCCAGAGGGUAGUGAGGUCUGCACAACGCAUCACCGGGGGCAAACUACCUGCCCUCCAGGACACCUACACCACCCGAUGUCACAGGAAGGCCAUAAAGAUCAUCAAGGACAACAACCAUCCGAGCCACUGCCUGUUCACCCCGCUAUCAUCCAGAAGGCGAGGUCGGUACAGGUGCAUCAAAGCAGGGACGAGAGACUGAAAAACAGCUUCUAUCUCAAUGCCAUCAGACUGUUAAACAGCCACCACUAACAUUGAGUGGCUACUGCCAACACACUAACUCAACUCCAGCCACUUUAAUAAUGGGAAUUGAUGGAAAUUGAUGUAAAAUAUAUCACUAGCCACUUUAAACAAUGCUACUUAAUAGAAUGUUUACAUACCCUACAUUACUCAUCUCAUAUGCAUAUGUAUAUACUGUACUCUAUAUCAUCUACUGCAUCUUUAUGUAAUUCAUGUAUCACUAGCCGCUUUAAACUAUGCCACUUUGUUUACAUACCCUACAUUACUCAUCUCAUAUGUAUAUACUGUACUCAAUACCAUCUACUGCAUCUUGCCUAUGCCGUUCUGUACCAUCACUCAUUCAUAUAUCUUUAUGUACAUAUUCUUUAUCCCUUUACACUUGUGUGUAUAAGGUAGUAGUUUUGGAAUUGUUAGGUUAGAUUACUCGUUGGUUAUUACUGCAUUGUCGGAACUAGAAGCACAAGCAUUUCGCUACACUCGCAUUAACAUCUGCUAACCAUGUGUAUGUGACAAAUACAUUUGAUUUGAUUUGAUAGUGGAGGUGGACGCGUCCGAGGCUGGGAUAGGUGCUGUGCUGUCUCAGCGCUCGGGUACGCCACCCAAACUCCACCCCUGUGCUUUCUUUUCAAAGAAGCUCUGCGGAGCGUAACUAUGAUGUGGGGGACCGGGAGCUACUGGCUGUCGUAAAGGCUCUGAAAUCGUGGAGGCAUUGGCUGGUACAGAGCCCACUCCUACCCAGUGUCCAGCUGGGCGGCUGUACGUUCCGUCUGCUGUCCGCAACCAUUUUCUCUAUUGGGUCCACACGUCCCCCUCCUCUGGUCACCCUGGCAUCGGUAGGACGGUGCGCUGUCUUAGUGGGAAGUACUGGUGGCCCACUUUAGCUAAGGACGUGAGGGUUUAUGUUUCCUCCUACUCGGUGUGCGCCCAGUGCAAGGCAUCUAGACACCUGCCCCGAGGGAAAUUACAACCCCUACCCAUUCCACAAUGGCCGUGGUCACACCUAUCGGUGGAUUUCUUGACGGAUCUUCCUUCGUCACAAGGAAACACCACGAUCCUGGUCAUUGUGGAUCGGUUUUCUAAGUCCUGCCGUCCCCUAACUUUGCCCGGUCUCCCUACGGCUCUACAGACUGAGGAGGCCCUGUUCACCCACGUCUCCCGGCUCUACAGACUGAGGAGGCCCUGUUCACCCACGUCUUCCGGCACUACGGGGUGCCUAAGGAUAUAGUUUCUGAUCGGGGUCCCCAGGGUCUGGAGGGUCUGGGGAUCUCGGUCAGCCUCACAUCAGGUUUUCACCCCGAGAGUAACGGGCAGGUGGAGAGAGUUAACCAGGAUGUGGGUAGAUUUCUGCGGUCAUAUUGCCAGGACCGGCCGGGGGAGUGGGCGGCUUUCAUCCCCUGGGCAGAGAUGGCCCAUGACUUCCACUCCUUCACUAACCUAUCUCCUUUUCAGUGUGUACUAGGUUAUCAGUCGGUCCUGGCACCGUGGCAUCAGAGCCAGAUCGAGGCACCUGCGGUGGAUGAAUGGUUUCGGCGCUCGGAGGAGACAUGGGACGCUGCCCAUGUGCACCUGCAACGGGCCAUCAGGCAGCAGAAGGCGAGCGCCGACCGCCACCGCAGUGAGGCGUCGGUGUACGCACCGGGGAUGGGUCUGGCUCUCGACCCGAAACCUGCCCCUUCGCCUGCUCUGCCGGAAGCUGGGCCGGUGGAGGCUGGUCCGCUCCAGGAGUCUGAUGUGAGGGAGGUUUCUCCGCCCCCCUCUGGACAUUGAGGGGGCCCGGUGUAUAAUGUUCGAGCCAUCAUGGACUCAAGGUGUCGGGCAAGGGGCCUUCAGUACCUCGUGGAGUGGGAGGGGUACGGUCCAGAGGAAAGAUGCUGGGUGCCGGUGGAGGACAUCCAGGACCCUUCGUUACUGUGGGAAUUUCACAGUCUCCACCCGGAUCGUCCUGCGCCUCGUCCUCCGGGUCGGCCCCGAGGCCGGUGUCGGCGCACUGCUGGAGCCGCGCGUCAA